rnacentral:tRNA from 1 species
GAGCCUGUAGCUCAGUCGGUAGAGCAUCUGACUUUUAAUCAGAGGGUCCCGGGUUCGAAUCCCGGCGGGCUCAC